rnacentral:misc_RNA from 1 species
CAAACUCCAAGCACAGCUUGAUGUUGGGUUCUGCCCGUCCUUUUGUGGGCGGACGGACCUGGAACGUGUGGGCUCUGACGAUGGGACCUGGAGCGUAGCAAGACGAAACGUCACCUCGCUUCUGAUGGAACUGUCGAUUGGACGUCUUAGUCUGGUGACGUCCUCAAAAGUUUUUUGAGGAAGAAACCACAUCAGUA